UCGAGAAUUUUUCACAAUGGGGGAAACCCUGAUGGAGCGACGCCGCGUGGGGGAUGAAUGGCUUCGGCCCGUAAACCCCUGUCAUUUGCGAUCAAAGCGCAUUAUUUAAAAGAUGAUGUGUUGAUAGUAGCGAAAGAGGAAGGGACGGCUAACUCUGUGCCAGCAGCCGCGGUAAUACAGAGGUCCCGAGCGUUGUUCGGAUUCACUGGGCGUAAAGGGUGCGUAGGUGGUGAGGUAAGUCGGAUGUGAAAGCUCGGAGCUCAACUCCGAAAUGGCAUUGGAAACUACCUUGCUGGAGGGUUGAGGGGGGACUGGAAUUCUCGGUGUAGCAGUGAAAUGCGUAGAUAUCGAGAGGAACACCAGUGGCGAAGGCGAGUCCCUGGACAACACCUGACACUGAGGCACGAAAGCUAGGGGAGCAAACAGGAUUAGAUACCCUGGUAGUCCUAGCCGUAAACGGUGGCACGUUUGCUGU
rnacentral:rRNA from 1 species